AAUCUCUUGAUUUCUUUGAUGUGAAACCCGACGCGGGAUCCGAAUAAGUAAUUCGGGUCACUUAUUGUUCCUUCCAUCAUACGUCUCUUCUCGAUCUCUAAUCUUCAUUCACAUCCUAGGGUUUCUGCAACUUUAUUCGCACCUAUCCUUCUCAUCCAAUCGCAUCCAUUCGCACUUCAUUCUGCCGAUGUCUUCCAAAACCUAAUGGAUCCUUCAGUCGUUCAAUCUGUCGUUCCAUCCAAGCCUAUAAAAUCCAAUGUUCCAUCAGGUUAAUCUAUUCAGGUACGAUUCCUUAUUUUCCUCACAAAACCUAAUCCAAAAAAUUAUCCUCUGUCUGAAAUGGCGCUGCCAAAAUCUUAUCAAGAUGGAUUGAGAUUGCUUAGCGAACAAAACCUAAUUCAGAGCUAUGGAAGAUCUCUGAUUUUUCUAGCAGGUUCAUAACCUACCAGAACCACUGUGGCAUAAAUUGAAUGCAUCACAUUUCUCUACUCCACACUAUCUCAAAACUUGAAUCUCGAUUACUUGGUUCAACACUACGGCUGGUUGGGAAGUUCAUUUUGUAGCAAUUUGUGUGAUCCGUGACCCAUGUCCUUCUCUGAAUGGGAGCACUUGUAUAAGAGUUGAGGGACUACUUGAACAGCGAGAUGGAAUUGAAAUUGUUGGAUUGGAUAAAACAGCAACGCAAUUAGGUCACGUUACGCACACCAUUCCAUUUUGCUAUAGAGAUCCCUGUAUUCUAGCUAAUGGGAGCUUUUUACAUGGAUAAUAAACCUAUCCUUAAUGAGUUAAAGUUGAUAGAAAAGUUUGCAUUUUUAUGGAAAAUUGCUUUGGUUAACUUUCUUCAUAAAAUGAGCAAGGGGAAGAGUUGUUUUUUUGUCAAUAGCAAAGAGAUUGUUGAUUUAUGCUCUUGCAGCUUGGGAUUUAAGGGGAACUUGGCUAUUUACCAAAGUCUCUAUUGGAGCGAUCAAGAAUUGGAUGACUCAAAUCUAAGAACCAAGAAUCAAGAAGUUUUUUGUACUUAAAAGGACAAGAAUCUGAGUUUCAAUAAGCUAACGUCAUUUGGCAAUGAUCUAGAUGGCUUAAUUAGCCUUAAAAUUAUGUAAGUUUUGUCUCAAUCAUAUUAUGAGGAUGGUUGUAAAGCGUUUUGCAUUAUUUUUAUCUUAAGUAUUAGUCUCAAUACUUUUCCAAAUAUGGGUAAUCUUUCAAUGCACAAAUACAUCCUCAUAAAGGUAGAAAAAUGAACGAGUUGGUCAAAAAGAAUAAUUUUAGAUGUGGUUCAAAAUGAUCAGGUUUGAGUUGGGCCAACAUACAAACACUUUGUCAAAUUCUUUUCUCUAAAAAUUUAGAAUAUUAUUUUUUUUAUAAAGAUUUGAGUGUAAUAUAGGUUAAAAAGGGUAAUUUUAAAUGUGGGUCAAAACUAUACUCUUUCAGCUUUUUUUAGGGGUGUGAAUUUCUUACACAACCUGAAAACACGACACGAACACGAAUUUUUUUGGGUUUGGGUUUACCCUAAAUGGGUUCGGGUCAGUUUCAGGUCGAACCCGCGAACCCGUUUAGCUUAACAGGUCAGGUUCGGGUUCGCGGGUUGAUCCGUUUAGUUUAUAAAUGUAAAAAUAUGAUGGAUUAUGUGAAGGGUCACACGGGAUCCGUUUACAUCCAUCCGGGUCAAAUGGGUUUUCGUAUAUAAACAAACAACCCGGCCAUUUUCUUUCCCUAUUCUUCAUAUUCUCACAGACGCCAAGGGCGAUUAGGGUUUUAUCAUUCUUUUCCAAUCAAACAAUCCAAGAUCCAAGGUAUAUGUUCAUCGAAUAAUAUUCGGAUUUCCUGUUAAUUUCUUCGAUUUAUUUGUAAUAAACAACUUCAUCUCAUCGUUCUUUUCUUCGAUCUUUGUUUAUAUAUCAUCUGAUAUGCUAUUUUGAUGUAAUCUGUGUUUGUAGGUUUUUAAUAUGACAUAAAAUCCAUCAAGGUCAGGAUCAUGACCGGAGAAACAAGAACCUACAAGUGGAUGUCAAAUAAGUAACAAUACAUAGU